GUGGGGAAUCUUAGACAAUGGGGGAAACCCUGAUCUAGCCAUGCCGCGUGAUCGAUGAAGGCCUUAGGGUUGUAAAGAUCUUUCAGGUGGGAAGAUAAUGACUGUACCACCAGAAGAAGCCCCGGCUAACUCCGUGCCAGCAGCCGCGGUAAUACGGAGGGGGCUAGCGUUGUUCGGAAUUACUGGGCGUAAAGCGCGCGUAGGCGGACCAGAAAGUUGGAGGUGAAAUCCCAGGGCUCAACCUUGGAACUGCCUUCAAAACUCCUGGUCUGGAGUUCGAGAGAGGUGAGUGGAAUUCCGAGUGUAGAGGUGAAAUUCGUAGAUAUUCGGAGGAACACCAGUGGCGAAGGCGGCUCACUGGCUCGAUACUGACGCUGAGGUGCGAAAGCGUGGGGAGCAAACAGGAUUAGAAACCCUUGUAGUCC
rnacentral:rRNA from 1 species